GGAUGUGAGGUUGAUAUGGCCAUGACAUCUGUCACACCAUUAAUCUGCCAGGGUUGGUUCGGCUGAUCUGGCUGUCUAGGUGGGUGUCCCUCACCACUCCAUGUGUCUCCCUCCCAAAGCUGUGCACUCCAAAGAAGAGGACAACCUUCCCCCAAUAGAGCAGGACCAGUCUUUGCUCAAGGGUAUAAGAAUAGCUGUGCUCCUCUGCUAGAACCUCCAAACAAGCUCUCAAGGAAAAUUGUAGAGUGAAUUGUCUUCCCUAAAAUUCAUGUGUUGAAAUAUCAGCUAUCAGAGCAUU
ensembl:misc_RNA 7SK 7SK RNA